rnacentral:rRNA from 1 species
GCUAAAAAUCUAGCCCCACUGCAAUCUAAUGAACCCAAAAAAUUAAUUUAAUUAAUUAAAACAUUUUUAUAUUUUAGUAAAGGCGAUCAAAAAAAUUAUAUGGAGCUAUAAUAAUAGUACCGCAAGGGAAAGAUGAAAUAAUAAUGAAACAACUUCAAGCACUUUAAAGUAGAGAUUUAACCUCGUACCUUUUGCAUCAUGGUUUAACUAGUCAAAUCAAGCAAAAUGACUUACAGUCUGACCCCCCGAAACUAAGCGAGCUACUUCAGGGCAGCUUAUUGAGCAAACCCGUCCCUGUUGCAAAAGAGUGGGAAGACCUUCAAGUAGCGGUGAUAGACCUAACGAGCUUAGUGAUAGCUGGUUAUUCAAGAAAAGGAUUUUAGUCCAGCCUAAAGAAUUAUUAAUAAUUAUUAUAUAACAGCUUCUUUAGAGUAAUUCAAAUAAGGUACAGCCUAUUUGAAACAGGAUACAACCUCGACCUAAGGGUAAUUACAUACUUUAACAACCAAGUAGGCUUAAAAGCAGCCAUCUUUAAAAAAGCGUCAUAGCUUAAUUGUUAGUACAACUAAUCCCAAAAAUAACUUAGAACCCUUAAUUACUAUUGAAUAAUUCUAUACACCUAUAGAAUAUUUUAUGUUAAAACUAGUAACAAGAAGAAGACCUUCUCUUAAAUGUAAAUGUAAGUCAAAAAGGACUAACCAGUGAUUAUUAACAUCCAUGAACAAAAAUUAGCAACUCACAAGAAAACCCUACUUUUUAUUAUGUUAACCUAACACAAGAACACUUCAAGAAAGAUUAAAAGAAAAAGAAGGAACUCGGCAAAAAUUAACCUCGCCUGUUUACCAAAAACAUCGCCUCUUGAAUAAACAUCUAUAAGAGGUCCAGCCUGCCCAGUGACUCUGUUCAACGGCCGCGGUAUCCUAACCGUGCGAAGGUAGCGUAAUCACUUGUUCUUUAAAUGAGGACUAGUAUGAAUGGCACCACGAAGGUUACACUGUCUCCUUUCUCUAAUCAGUGAAACUAAUCCCCCCGUGAAGAAGCGGGGAUUAAAAUAUAAGACGAGAAGACCCUAUGGAGCUUUAAACUAAACAACACUUGCUUUCACACCUUUAUAUUUAAAAAUAUUAAUAACUAUUACAGCUUUAUGAUUGUUAGUUUUAGGUUGGGGUGACCGCGGAGCAAAACAAAACCUCCACAUUGAACGGGUUUAUAUACCCUGAGCAACGAACUACAAUUCAAUGCACCAAUAAAUUGACAUAACUUGACCCAAUAUUUUGAUCAACGAACCAAGUUACCCUAGGGAUAACAGCGCAAUCCGCUUCAAGAGCUCCUAUCGACAAGCGGGUUUACGACCUCGAUGUUGGAUCAGGAUACCCCAGUGGUGCAGCCGCUACUAAAGGUUCGUUUGUUCAACGAUUAAAAUCCU